GAUGAACGCUGGCGGCGUGCCUAAUACAUGCAAGUCGAGCGAACAGAUGAGGAGCUUGCUCCUCUGACGUUAGCGGCGGACGGGUGAGUAACACGUGGAUAACCUACCUAUAAGACUGGGAUAACUUCGGGAAACCGGAGCUAAUACCGGAUAAUAUAUUGAACCGCAUGGUUCAAUAGUGAAAGACGGUUUUGCUGUCACUUGUAGAUGGAUCCGCGCCGCAUUAGCUAGUUGGUAAGGUAAAGGCUUACCAAGGCAACGAUGCGUAGCCGACCUGAGAGGGUGAUCGGCCACACUGGAACUGAGACACGGUCCAGACUCCUACGGGAGGCAGCAGUAGGGAAUCUUCCGCAAAGGGCGAAAGCCUGACGGAGCAACGCCGCGUGAGUGAUGAAGGUCUUCGGAUCGUAAAACUCUGUUAUUAGGGAAGAACAAAUGUGUAAGUAACUAUGCACGUCUUGACGGUACCUAAUCAGAAAGCCACGGCUAACUACGUG
rnacentral:rRNA from 1 species